UUAGACUCUAAGUAAAACUUUUCCAGGCUAUUUAGUCAAGUUACUUACAAUAUACACAUUCCUGAGAAUACCCCAUUGUAACACACACAAAGAAAGAGAC